rnacentral:piRNA from 1 species
UAGGUGUUGGGAUCCGAACUCAGGUC